rnacentral:rRNA from 1 species
UACGAAGGGGGCUAGCGUUGCUCGGAAUCACUGGGCGUAAAGCGCACGUAGGCGGCUUUUUAAGUCAGAGGUGAAAUCCUGGAGCUCAACGUCCAGAACUGCCUUUGAUACUGAGGAUCUUGAGUUCGGGAGAGGUGAGUGGAACUGCGAGUGUAGAGGUGAAAUUCGUAGAUAUUCGCAAGAACACCAGUGGCGAAGGCGGCUCACUGGCCCGAUACUGACGCUGAGGCACGGAAAGCGUGG